AGAGUUUGAUCAUGGCUCAGAUUGAACGCUGGCGGCAGGCCUAACACAUGCAAGUCGAACGGUAACAGGAAGCAGCUUGCUGCUUCGCUGACGAGUGGCGGACGGGUGAGUAAUGUCUGGGAAGCUGCCUGAUGGAGGGGGAUAACUACUGGAAACGGUAGCUAAUACCGCAUAAUGUCGCAAGACCAAAGAGGGGGACCUUCGGGCCUCUUGCCAUCGGAUGUGCCCAGAUGGGAUUAGCUUGUUGGUGGGGUAACGGCUCACCAAGGCGACGAUCCCUAGCUGGUCUGAGAGGAUGACCAGCCACACUGGAACUGAGACACGGUCCAGACUCCUACGGGAGGCAGCAGUGGGGAAUAUUGCACAAUGGGCGCAAGCCUGAUGCAGCCAUGCCGCGUGUAUGAAGAAGGCCUUCGGGUUGUAAAGUACUUUCAGCGGGGAGGAAGGGAGUAAAGUUAAUACCUUUGCUCAUUGACGUUACCCGCAGAAGAAGCACCGGCUAACUCCGUGCCAGCAGCCGCGGUAAUACGGAGGGUGCAAGCGUUAAUCGGAAUUACUGGGCGUAAAGCGCACGCAGGCGGUUUGUUAAGUCAGAUGUGAAAUCCCCGGGCUCAACCUGGGAACUGCAUCUGAUACUGGCAAGCUUGAGUCUCGUAGAGGGGGGUAGAAUUCCAGGUGUAGCGGUGAAAUGCGUAGAGAUCUGGAGGAAUACCGGUGGCGAAGGCGGCCCCCUGGACGAAGACUGACGCUCAGGUGCGAAAGCGUGGGGAGCAAACAGGAUUAGAUACCCUGGUAGUCCACGCCGUAAACGAUGUCGACUUGGAGGUUGUGCCCUUGAGGCGUGGCUUCCGGAGCUAACGCGUUAAGUCGACCGCCUGGGGAGUACGGCCGCAAGGUUAAAACUCAAAUGAAUUGACGGGGGCCCGCACAAGCGGUGGAGCAUGUGGUUUAAUUCGAUGCAACGCGAAGAACCUUACCUGGUCUUGACAUCCACGGAAGUUUUCAGAGAUGAGAAUGUGCCUUCGGGAACCGUGAGACAGGUGCUGCAUGGCUGUCGUCAGCUCGUGUUGUGAAAUGUUGGGUUAAGUCCCGCAACGAGCGCAAUCCUUAUCCUUUGUUGCCAGCGGUCCGGCCGGGAACUCAAAGGAGACUGCCAGUGAUAAACUGGAGGAAGGUGGGGAUGACGUCAAGUCAUCAUGGCCCUUACGACCAGGGCUACACACGUGCUACAAUGGCGCAUACAAAGAGAAGCGACCUCGCGAGAGCAAGCGGACCUCAUAAAGUGCGUCGUAGUCCGGAUUGGAGUCUGCAACUCGACUCCAUGAAGUCGGAAUCGCUAGUAAUCGUGGAUCAGAAUGCCACGGUGAAUACGUUCCCGGGCCUUGUACACACCGCCCGUCACACCAUGGGAGUGGGUUGCAAAAGAAGUAGGUAGCUUAACCUUCGGGAGGGCGCUUACCACUUUGUGAUUCAUGACUGGGGUGAAGUCGUAACAAGGUAACCGUAGGGGAACCUGCGGCUG
rnacentral:rRNA from 1 species